AUGGACUUCUGAUGCAUUGGUUUGGAAACUCUCACUCAGAAAAAGUGGUAAUUCUUUGUUUUUUUCUUGAUGUAAAGUGGGAGGAUGGGACCACCCUUUUAUUUGGUUAAGAAAAAGGAUGGUCCAAAGAGUAUCUGGAGUUCUGAAGAGAAAAGCCAGAAGACAGAUCUAGAAAUUAGAGAAGGGUUCUAACUAUUGCCAGUCCAAUUAAAUUUUUGUUUGAGCAUCGAGCGGGCGUUCUUUACAACAGUCUCAAUUGUAUUGAGCGUCCGACUUGAUGCUCCUAAUCUUUAUUAUAUUCGACUAACUGAUCUCCUAAAUAGUUACAGAUAUAAAUCUACUAAAUCCAAAAGCCCUCCCAGCGCCUGUACUAGUGAUGUAAGCUGCUGGUUGCCGUCGUUACACUCCCUCGCGUCGAGGAAGCUCGGUUCUACCCACUUCACUCCUGCCUUUGAUGCUCUGCAGAACCUUCCUUAUCUCUGUUUUUUGGUCCAACCAAUACCAACCAGCUCUCCAGAUUGUGUAGGGAUUUCUCGAGAACUAUUGACUUUGCGUUUGCUUUAUACUUAAAAGGGAGAAAGGGAUUCGAAAAAGAGGAGAAAAAUCUCAUGGACGGACGGAGAGGGAUGGACUGCUUCACCAAGAAAAAGAGAUACGGAUGGACAGCUUCACCAAAAAAAAG
rnacentral:lncRNA from 1 species